GAUGAACGCUAGCGACAGGCCUAACACAUGCAAGUCGAGGGGCAGCAUGAAAUUAGCUUGCUAAUUUUGAUGGCGACCGGCGCACGGGUGAGUAACACGUAUGCAACCUGCCUGUAAGUGGGGGAUAACCCGGAGAAAUUCGGACUAAUACCGCAUAAUAUCAUCGAGUCGCAUGUUUUGAUGAUUAAAAAUUCAUUGCUUACAGAUGGGCAUGCGUAUGAUUAGCUAGUUGGCGGGGUAAAGGCACACCAAGGCGACGAUCAUUAGGGGUUCUGAGAGUAAGGUCCCCCACAGUGGAACUGAGACACGGUCCAAACUCCUACGGGAGGCAGCAGUGAGGAAUAUUGGUCAAUGGACGCAAGUCUGAACCAGCCAUGUCGCGUGAAGGAUGACUGUCCUAUGGAUUGUAAACUUCUUUUAUAUGGGGAUAAAGUGUGAGACUUGUCUCAUUUUGCAUGUACCAUAUGAAUAAGCAUCGGCUAACUCCGUGCCAGCCGCCGCGGUAACAC
rnacentral:rRNA from 1 species